rnacentral:rRNA from 1 species
GACGAACGCUGGCGGCGUGCUUAACACAUGCAAGUCGAACGGAAAGGCCCUGCUUUUGUGGGGUGCUCGAGUGGCGAACGGGUGAAUAACACGUGAGUAACCUGCCCUUGACUUUGGGAUAACUUCAGGAAACUGGGGCUAAUACCGGAUAGGAGCUCCUGCUGCAUGGUGGGGGUUGGAAAGUUUCGGCGGUUGGGGAUGGACUCGCGGCUUAUCAGCUUGUUGGUGGGGUAGUGGCUUACCAAGGCUUUGACGGGUAGCCGGCCUGAGAGGGUGACCGGCCACAUUGGGACUGAGAUACGGCCCAGACUCCUAUGGGAGGCAGCAGUGGGGAAUAUUGCACAAUGGGCGGAAGCCUGAUGCAGCAACGCCGCGUGCGGGAUGACGGCCUUCGGGUUGUAAACCGCUUUCGCCUGUGACGAAGCGUGAGUGACGGUAAUGGGUAAAGAAGCACCGGCUAACUACGUGCCAGCAGCCGCGGUGAUACGUAGGGUGCGAGCGUUGUCCGGAUUUAUUGGGCGUAAAGGGCUCGUAGGUGGUUGAUCGCGUCGGAAGUGUAAUCUUGGGGCUUAACCCUGAGCGUGCUUUCGAUACGGGUUGACUUGAGGAAGGUAGGGGAGAAUGGAAUUCCUGGUGGAGCGGUGGAAUGCGCAGAUAUCAGGAGGAACACCAGUGGCGAAGGCGGUUCUCUGGGCCUUUCCUGACGCUGAGGAGCGAAAGCGUGGGGAGCGAACAGGCUUAGAUACCCUGGUAGUCCACGCUGUAAACGGUGGGUACUAGGUGUGGGGUCCAUUCCACGGGUUCCGUGCCGUAGCUAACGCUUUAAGUACCCCGCCUGGGGAGUACGGCCGCAAGGCUAAAACUCAAAGGAAUUGACGGGGCCCCGCACAAGCGGCGGAGCAUGCGGAUUAAUUCGAUGCAACGCGUAGAACCUUACCUGGGUUUGACAUGGAUCGGGAGUGCUCAGAGAUGGGUGUGCCUCUUUUGGGGUCGGUUCACAGGUGGUGCAUGCCUGUCGUCAGCUCGUGUCGUGAGAUGUUGGGUUAAGUCCCGCAACGAGCGCAACCCUUGUUCACUGUUGCCAGCACGUUAUGGUGGGGACUCAGUGGAGACCGCCGGGGUCAACUCGGAGGAAGGUGGGGAUGACGUCAGGUCAUCAUGCCCCUUAUGUCCAGGGCUUCACGCAUGCUACAAUGGCUGGUACAGAGAGUGGCGAGCCUGUGAGGGUGAGCGAAUCUCGGAAAGCCGGUCUCAGUUCGGAUUGGGGUCUGCAACUCGACCUCAUGAAGUCGGAGUCGCUAGUAAUCGCAGAUCAGCAACGCUGCGGUGAAUACGUUCCCGGGGCU